GACGAACGCUGGCGGCGUGCCUAAUACAUGCAAGUAGAACGCUGAAGGAGGAGCUUGCUUCUCUGGAUGAGUUGCGAACGGGUGAGUAACGCGUAGGGAACCUGCCUGGUAGCGGGGGAGAACUAUUGGAAACGAUAGCUAAUACCGCAUAAGAGUAGAUGUUGCAUGACAUUUGCUUAAAAGAUGCAAUUGUAUCACUACCAGAUGGACAUGCGUUGUAUUAGCUAGUUGGUGGGGUAACGGCUCACCAAGGCGACGAUACAUAGCCGACCUGAGAGGGGGAUCGGCCACACUGGGACUGAGACACGGCCCAGACUCCUACGGGAGGCAGCAGUAGGGAAUCUUCGGCAAUGGGCGGAAGUCUGACCGAGCAACGCCGCGUGAGUGAAGAAGGUUUUCGGAUCGUAAAGCUCGGUUGUAAGAGAAGAACGAGUGUGAGAGUGGAAAGUUCACACUGUGACGGUAUCUGACCAGAAAGGGACGGCUAACUACGUG
rnacentral:rRNA from 1 species